UAGGGAAUCUUCGGCAAUGGACGAAAGUCUGACCGAGCAACGCCGCGUGCGUGAAGAAGGUUUUCGGAUCGUAAAACUCUGUUGUUAGAGAAGAACAAGGACGUUAGUAACUGAACGUCCCCUGACGGUAUCUAACUAGAAAGCCACGGCUAACUACGUGCCAGCAGCCGCGGUAAUACGUAGGUGUCAAGCGUUGUCCGGAUUUAUUGGGCGUAAAGCGAGCGCAGGCGGAUUCUUAAGUCUGAUGUGAAAGCCCCCGGCUCAACCGGGGAGGGUCAUUAGAAACUGGGAGACUUGAGUUGAGAAGAGGGGAGUGGAAUUCCAUGUGUAGCGGUGAAAAGCGUAAAUAUAUGGAGGAAGACCAGUGGCGAAGGCGGAUCUCCGGUCUGUAACUGACGCUGAGGAUCGAAAGCGUGGGGAGCAAACAGG
rnacentral:rRNA from 1 species